AUUGAACGCUGGCGGCAGGCCUAACACAUGCAAGUCGAACGGUAACAGGAAGCUACUUGCUGCGUCGCUGACGAGUGGCGAACGGGUGAGUAAUGUCUGGGAAGCUUCCUGAUGGAGGGGGAUAACUACUGGAAACGGUAGCUAAUACCGCAGAAUGUCGCAAGACCAAAGAGGGGGACCUUCGAGCCCCUUGCCAUCGGGUGUGGCCAGAUGGGCUUAGUUUGUUGGUGGGGUAACGGCCCACCAAGGCGACGAUCCCUUGCUGAUCUGAGAGGAGGACACGCCACGUUGGAACGGCGACACGGUCCAGACCCCUAUGGGACGCAGCAGUGCAGUAUGUUGCACAGUGGGCGGGAGGCUGCUGCAACCAUGCCGUGUCUAUUGAAGAGGCCUGCGGGUUGGAAAGUUAUUCCAGCGGUGAGGAAGGGAGUAACGUUAAUACCUUAGCUCAUUGACGUUACCCGCAGAAGAAGCACCGGCUAACUCCGUG
rnacentral:rRNA from 1 species